rnacentral:rRNA from 1 species
AUUGAACGCUGGCGGCAGGCCUAACACAUGCAAGUCGAGCGGAUGAAGGGAGCUUGCUCCUGGAUUCAGCGGCGGACGGGUGAGUAAUGCCUAGGAAUCUGCCUGGUAGUGGGGGAUAACGUCCGGAAACGGGCGCUAAUACCGCAUACGUCCUGAGGGAGAAAGUGGGGGAUCUUCGGACCUCACGCUAUCAGAUGAGCCUAGGUCGGAUUAGCUAGUUGGUGGGGUAAAGGCCUACCAAGGCGACGAUCCGUAACUGGUCUGAGAGGAUGAUCAGUCACACUGGAACUGAGGCACGGUCCAGACUCCUACGGGAGGCAGCAGUGGGGAAUAUUGGACAAUGGGCGGAAGCCUGAUGCAGCCAUGCCGCGUGGGUGAAGAAGGUCUUCGGAUUGUAAAGAACUUUAAGUUGGGAGGAAGGGCAGUAAGUUAAUACCUUGCUGUUUUGACGUUACCAACAGAAUAAGCACCGGCUAACUUCGUG